rnacentral:rRNA from 1 species
GACGAACGCUGGCGGCGUGCUUAACACAUGCAAGUCGAACGGAAAGGCCCUGCUUUUGUGGGGUGCUCGAGUGGCGAACGGGUGAGUAACACGUGAGUAACCUGCCCUUGACUUUGGGGUAACUUCAGGAAACUGGGGCUAAUACCGGAUAGGAGCUCCUGCUGCAUGGUGGGGGUUGGAAAGUUCCGGCGGUUGGGGAUGGACUCGCGGCUUAUCAGCUUGUUGGUGGGGUAGUGGCUUACCAAGGCUUUGACGGGUAGCCGGCCUGAGAGGGUGACCGGCCACAUUGGGACUGAGAUACGGCCCAGACUCCUACGGGAGGCAGCAGUGGGGAAUAUUGCACAAUGGGCGGAAGCCUGAUGCAGCAACGCCGCGUGCGGGAUGACGGCCUUCGGGUUGUAAACCGCUUUCGCCUGUGACGAAGCGUGAGUGACGGUAAUGGGUAAAGAAGCACCGGCUAACUACGUGCCAGCAGCCGCGGUAA